UACGUAGGGUCCGAGCGUUGUCCGGAAUUACUGGGCGUAAAGAGCUCGUAGGUGGUUUGUCGCGUUGUUCGUGAAAACUACAGCUCAACUGUGGGCGUGCGGGCGAUACGGGCAGACUAGAGUACUGCAGGGGAGACUGGAAUUCCUGGUGUAGCGGUGGAAUGCGCAGAUAUCAGGAGGAACACCGGUGGCGAAGGCGGGUCUCUGGGCAGUAACUGACGCUGAGGAGCGAAAGCGUGGGGAGCGAACAGG
rnacentral:rRNA from 1 species